rnacentral:tRNA from 1 species
CCUGGCUCAGUUGGUAGAGCAUGGUGUUUGCAACGCCAGGGUUGUGGGUUCGAUUCCCACGG